UGGUAUAUCUCAAACAACUGUUUAGAGUGGUCAAUUGCAAUUCUUCUGCAGUCAUCAAGGCCUUUAGGGUCAUAAGCCACCAACUCUAAUUUUGAUUUCUUCAACUUCCCUUGCGGAUCACCAUCAAUGAGAAACUCCGCCAAAGUAGUACCCCUGGUUACAACUAACUUGUUAAAACCUCGAUUUUGAGAAGUUGAAGUGCCAUAAAUUGAUUUUCUGGCAGAGGUUUGUUGCCUGUAUAGAGCACAGAUAGCCUCCAUACAAAGUUCUCCAUCUUUCUCAAAUGCGGUAAUCAUGUCUGCGUCAAUCUCCCAGCUUUUAUGAGCUCCAUUGACUUGCCUUCGUUGC
rnacentral:misc_RNA from 1 species